rnacentral:misc_RNA from 1 species
AACGCACAUGGCGCCCGCUAGUAUUCUGGCGGGCAUGCCUGUCUGAGCGUCGUUUCGACCCUCGUCCCCGGUGUCUGUCGGGGGCGGUGUUGGGGAUCGGCCACCACCCUUCACUGGGCGGCCGCCCCCUAAAUCCAGUGGCGACCACGCUGUAGCCUCCCCUGCGUAGUACUAAAACCACCUCGCAGGCGGAGAGCGGUGCGGCCCGCCGUAAAACCCCCCAAACUUUUACAAGGUCGACCUCAGAUCAGGUAGGGAUACCCGCUGAACUUAA